rnacentral:rRNA from 1 species
AUUGAACGCUGGCGGCAUGCUUUACACAUGCAAGUCGAACGGUAACAGGUUAAGCUGACGAGUGGCGAACGGGUGAGUAAUGCAUCGGAACGUGCCCGGUCGUGGGGGAUAACGCAGCGAAAGCUGCGCUAAUACCGCAUACGAUCUAAGGAUGAAAGCGGGGGACCGUAAGGCCUCGCGCGAUCGGAGCGGCCGAUGUCAGAUUAGGUAGUUGGUGGGGUAAAGGCUCACCAAGCCAACGAUCUGGAGCUGGUCUGAGAGGACGACCAGCCACACUGGGACUGCGACAGGGCCCAGACUCCUGCGGGAGGCAGCAGUGGGGAAUUUUGGACAAUGGGCGAAAGCCUGAUCCAGCAAUGCCGCGUGCAGGAAGAAGGCCUUCGGGUUGUAAACUGCUUUUGUACGGAGCGAAAAGGUCUCCUCUAAUACAGGGGGCUCAUGACGGUACCGUAAGAAUAAGCACCGGCUAACUACGUGCCAGCCGCGGCCGUAA